rnacentral:rRNA from 1 species
UACCAUGCAGUCGACGAUGAAGCCAGCUUGCUGGUGGAUUAGUGGCGAACGGGUGAGUAACACGUGAGCAACCUGCCCCUGACUUCGGGAUAACCGCGGGAAACCGUGGCUAAUACCGGAUAUGACGUGCCCUCGCAUGGGGGUGUGUGGAAAGACUGUGUCGGUUGGGGAUGGGCUCGCGGCCUAUCAGCUUGUUGGUGGGGUGAUGGCCUACCAAGGCGACGACGGGUAGCCGGCCUGAGAGGGUGACCGGCCACACUGGGACUGAGACACGGCCCAGACUCCUACGGGAGGCAGCAGUGGGGAAUAUUGCACAAUGGGCGCAAGCCUGAUGCAGCGACGCCGCGUGAGGGAUGACGGCCUUCGGGUUGUAAACCUCUUUCAGUAGGGAAGAAGCUCUUCGGGGUGACGGUACCUGCAGAAGAAGCGCCGGCUAACUACGUGCCAGCAGCCGCGGUAAUACGUAGGGCGCAAGCGUUGUCCGGAAUUAUUGGGCGUAAAGAGCUCGUAGGCGGUUUGUCGCGUCUGCUGUGAAAACGCGAGGCUUAACCUCGCGCCUGCAGUGGGUACGGGCAGACUAGAGUGCGGUAGGGGAGACUGGAAUUCCUGGUGUAGCGGUGGAAUGCGCAGAUAUCAGGAGGAACACCGGUGGCGAAGGCGGGUCUCUGGGCCGUUACUGACGCUGAGGAGCGAAAGCAUGGGGGAGCGAACAGGAUUAGAUACCCUGGUAGUCCAUGCCGUAAACGUUGGGCACUAGGUGUGGGGGCCCAUUCCACGGGUUCCGUGCCGCAGCUAACGCAUUAAGUGCCCCGCCUGGGGAGUACGGCCGCAAGGCUAAAACUCAAAGGAAUUUGACGGGGGCCCGCACAAGCCGGCGGAGCAUGCGGAUUUAAUUCGAUGCAACGCGAAGAACCUUACCAAGGCUUGACAUACACCGGAAACAUCCAGAGAUGGGUGGCCCCCGCAAGGUCGGUGUACAAGGUGGUGGCAUGGAUUGUCGUCAGCUCGUGUCGUGAGAUGUUGGGUUAAGUCCCGCAACGAGCGCAACCCUUGUCCUGUGUUGCCAGCGGGUUAUGCCGGGGACUCAUGGGAGACUGCCGGGGUCAACUCGGAGGAAGGUGGGGAUGACGUCAAAUCAUCAUGCCCCUUAUGUCUUGGGCUUCACGCAUGCUACAAUGGCCGGUACAAAGGGUUGCGAUGCCGUGAGGUGGAGCGAAUCCCAAAAAGCCGGUCUCAGUUCGGAUUGGGGUCUGCAACUCGACCCCAUGAAGUCGGAGUCGCUAGUAAUCGCAGAUCAGCAACGCUGCGGUGAAUACGUUCUCGGGCCUUGUACACACCGCCCGUCACGUCACGAAAGUCGGUAACACCCGAAGCCGGUGGCCCAACCCCUUGUGGGGGGGAGCCGUCGAAGGUGGGACUGGCGAUUGGGACGAAGUCGUAACAAGA